rnacentral:rRNA from 1 species
GAGUUUGAUCCUGGCUCACAUUGAACGCUGGCGGCAGGCCUAACACAUGCAAGUCGAACGGUAACAGGGAGAAAGCUUGCUUUCUUUGCUGACGAGUGGCGGACGGGUGAGUAAUGCUUGGGAAUCUGGCCUAUGGAGGGGGAUAACUACGGGAAACUGUAGCUAAUACCGCGUAGAAUCGGGAGAUGAAAGUGUGGGACCGCAAGGCCACAUGCCAUGGGAUGAGCCCAAGUGGGAUUAGGUAGUUGGUAAGGUAAAGGCUUACCAAGCCGACGAUCUCUAGCUGGUCUGAGAGGAUGACCAGCCACACUGGAACUGAGACACGGUCCAGACUCCUACGGGAGGCAGCAGUGGGGAAUAUUGCACAAUGGGGGGAACCCUGAUGCAGCCAUGCCGCGUGAAUGAAGAAGGCCUUCGGGUUGUAAAGUUCUUUCGGUGAUGAGGAAGGCAGUUACUUUAAUAGAGUAGUUGAUUGACGUUAGUCACAGAAGAAGCACCGGCUAACUCCGUGCCAGCAGCCGCGGUAAUACGGAGGGUGCGAGCGUUAAUCGGAAUAACUGGGCGUAAAGGGCACGCAGGCGGUGACUUAAGUGAGAUGUGAAAGCCCCGGGCUUAACCUGGGAAUUGCAUUUCAUACUGGGUCGCUAGAGUACUUUAGGGAGGGGUAG